GAUGAACGCUAGCUACAGGCUUAACACAUGCAAGUCGAGGGGUCUUUAGGGCUUGCUCUAAAGACGACCGGCGCACGGGUGAGUAACGCGUAUCCAACCUGCCCUUCAUAUUGGGAUAGCCUUCCGAAAGGGAGAUUAAUACCGAAUAACAUGAUGUUUUUGCAUGAUUUCAUCAUGAAAGCUCCGGCGAUGAAGGAUGGGGAUGCGUUUCAUUAGGUAGUAGGCGGGGUAACGGCCCACCUAGCCGACGAUGAAUAGGGGUUCUGAGAGGAAGGUCCCCCACAUUGGAACUGAGACACGGUCCAAACUCCUACGGGAGGCAGCAGUGAGGAAUAUUGGUCAAUGGACGAGAGUCUGAACCAGCCAUGUCGCGUGAAGGAUGACUGUCCUAUGGAUUGUAAACUUCUUUUAUAUGGGAAUAAAGUGAGAAACGAGUUUCUUUUUGUAUGUACCAUAUGAAUAAGCAUCGGCUAACUCCGUGCCAGCCGCCGCCGUAAGAC
rnacentral:rRNA from 1 species